UUAGAGCUGCGUUUGGCACGCAACGCAGCUUAUACAUGUCUGGAGCUACGUUUGUUUAAACGCGGCUACAGUUUUGUACAAAUUAAAAAAAAAAAAAAAAAAAAAAAAAAAAAAAAAAAAAAAGAAGAAAAAAACCCGAUCUCUCACCUUCUCUCUCACUCUCUCCCUUUGACUCCCAAACCCGAUCCUCCUCACCAUGGCCGAAGCCGUCACUCUCUCUCACUCCGAUCACCAGCACCACCACUACGGUGGUCUUCUCCAUCCCCGAACCAACUCUCUCAACCUCGAAAUCUCUCUCUAAUCCUCAGAUCGCCAUGGUGGCAGCGGUGGUUACAGCAUUAGAGCCAUUUGGAUCAUCAACAGCCUCGAUGCCAUCGUUUUCUCCAGGGCUAUUUUAGUAAUCUGUCAAUUAGCACACAGGGAUUGUAUACAGAGGUGGUUUAACGAGAAGGGCAACACCACCUGUGAAAUAUGCCUCCAGGCUAGGCAAGUUCAUCCAGAUAAAAAUCCAAACGACUCUCAAGCGGCUGAAAGAUUUCAGGCUAGUUCAUCCAGAUAAAAAUCUACUAAUUUUUCCCUUAUAGAAAAAUUCAGGUUUUGGCUUUUCAAUACUAUAGAAACAAUAAGGAAUCUACUAACAGAAAUUUUUUAAUUUUAAUACUAUUUCCUCUACUCUAGUGUUGUGGAAUGACCUAUUUUACACAAAUUUUGGCUUCAUUUCUUCAACUUUUAUUUCAGAAGGUGUUGUUAGACCAGGCCAACAGUCAAACACAACAUUGCAUUGUCCUAAACUUAAUUAUGAUUGCAUUGUUCUAAUAUGCUUCUCAUGUGUUAAGGGUUGGUCAUUUCUUUCUCUUCCAUAUAUUCUUUGAUUCUUUUAUUUUUAAUCCUAUGGUUAGGAUUUGUAUGUUAAUUUUACACAAAUUUGGCUGUCUCUAGGCCUAAAUUUUAUAUCCAACUGCUUUGGGCUAGUGAACAUUACCCAAUCUACGCCUUUUGAGGAGACCUUCUCUCUCUCUCUCUCUCUCUUCUUAUAUAUAUACCUCUCUUUGUCACUAUUGUUUCUUGUGCAGUAGUAGUUGUAGUAGUAGUAAAUUCAAAAGCAGAGUUUUGUGUUUGUAUUACUUUUUGCAACCACCUAGGCUAGAAGAGAGGAAGAAGUAAGAAGAAGAAGAAUAUAGAGGUUUGAUCCAGCAGAAGAGGCAGAGAAAGAGAGAGCAGCCAAGAUAGGGUCAAAGUCUACAACAUGCAUCCAAGGGUGGUCAAACCCAUCAAAAAAGUACAAGUUGUUUACUAUCUCUCAAGAAAUGGCCAUCUUGAACACCCACAUUACAUGGAAGUCACCCAUUUAGUCAAUCAACCUCUUCGUUUAAGAGGUUUUCCUAAAGCAGCAUCUUACAAAUGUUUUCUUUUGACUCCAAUUUUGGUGAUGAAGGUUAAGAAUUUAAUAGCUUGAUUUGGUUAUUGUGAAUUGGCUCCUGCAAAUCUUUCUGGUCAACUGGUUCCACAACUUGGUCAGCUUUUAAAUCUGCAAUACUUGGCCUGUGAAACGAUCAUGUUUAUUGAAGGUGAACGAUCAGCAAUAAGACAGAUCGAUCCAAUAGGAUCAGGUGGGAACUUUGUGAUGUUUUUAUUUUGUGAUGUAAAAACCAAAGUUUGUUGGGAACUUUUAUUUUAUAUGUAAUUAUUUGGAUAUGUAAUUAAUCUUUUGGCAACGAACAUAAUUGUUUUGUUU